rnacentral:rRNA from 1 species
AGUGAACGCUGGCGGUAGGCCUAACACAUGCAAGUCGAACGGCAGCACAGUAAGAGCUUGCUCUUACGGGUGGCGAGUGGCGGACGGGUGAGGAAUACAUCGGAAUCUACUUUUUCGUGGGGGAUAACGUAGGGAAACUUACGCUAAUACCGCAUACGACCUACGGGUGAAAGCAGGGGAUCUUCGGACCUUGCGCGAUUGAAUGAGCCGAUGUCGGAUUAGCUAGUUGGCGGGGUAAAGGCCCACCAAGGCGACGAUCCGUAGCUGGUCUGAGAGGAUGAUCAGCCACACUGGAACUGAGACACGGUCCAGACUCCUACGGAGGGCAGCAGUGGGGAAUAUUAGACAAUGGGCGCAAGCCUGGUCCAGCCAUACCGCGUGGGUGAAGAAGGCCUUCGGGUUGUAAAGCCCUUUUGUUGGGAAAGAAAAGCAGCAGGUUAAUACCCCGCUGUUCUGACGGUACCCAAAGAAUAAGCACCGGCUAACUUCGUG